AUGCCUGAACAAGACCAAAGAGAAGAAAAGGAUAACCUUAAUGAUCUGGUUCUUUUACCUUCUUCACCUAAAAAUCGUGAGGCCGUAGCAUCCGAUAUCAAUGUUUCUUUGCAUGGAGAAAGAGAGAACAGAAGGAAGAAGAAGGUUAUGCACCAAGUGAAUCUCGUGAUGUUGAAAAGGGUUUGUCGUCACAACGCAAAAAGAGAAAGGAAAUAUAGUAAAGCAAAGUGA